AUUGAACGCUGGCGGCAGGCCUAACACAUGCAAGUCGAGCGGAUGAGUGGAGCUUGCUCCAUGAUUCAGCGGCGGACGGGUGAGUAAUGCCUAGGAAUCUGCCUGGUAGUGGGGGACAACGUUUCGAAAGGAACGCUAAUACCGCAUACGUCCUACGGGAGAAAGCAGGGGACCUUCGGGCCUUGCGCUAUCAGAUGAGCCUAGGUCGGAUUAGCUAGUAGGUGAGGUAAUGGCUCACCUAGGCGACGAUCCGUAACUGGUCUGAGAGGAUGAUCAGUCACACUGGAACUGAGACACGGUCCAGACUCCUACGGGAGGCAGCAGUGGGAAUAUUGGACAAAUGGGCGAAAGCCUGAUCCAGCCAUGCCGCGUGUGUGAAGAAGGUCUUCGGAUUGUAAAGCACUUUAAGUUGGGAGGAAGGGCAGUAAGUUAAUACCUUGCUGUUUGUACGUUACCAAC
rnacentral:rRNA from 1 species